GCGCCGCGGCUCACUAGGCUAAUCCUCCGCCUAGCGGCGCCGGCACACCGGGUUCUAGUCCCGGUUGGGGCGCUGGAUUCUGUCCCGGUUGCCCCUCUUCCAGGCCAGCUCUCUGCUGUGGCCAGGGAGUGCAGUGGAGGAUGGCCCAGGUGCUUGGGCCCUGCACCCCAUGGGAGACCAGGAAAAGCACCUGGCUCCUGGCUCCUGCCAUCAGAUCAGCGCGGUGCGCCGGCCGCAGCGUGCCGGCUGCGGCAGCCAUUGGAGGGUGAACCAACGGCAAAGGAAGACCUUUCUCUCUGUCUCUCUCUCUCUCAUUGUCCACUCUGCCUGUCAAAAAAUAAAAUAAAAUAAAAAAAAAAAUAAA